AUGCAAUUGCCAUGCGCGAGACAACCUUCCACACACCCGGUGCUGCGCCACUGCGUCGCGCUCCUCCGCCUCCACCUGCCGUCUCCCUCCGUCGCUGCGGCCAAGCAGAUCCACGCGCGCGCGCUCCGUGCGACUGGCGUGACCCUCUCCCACCCUCUCCUCGCCAAGCACCUCCUCUUCCACCUAGCUUCCCUCCGCGCCGGCGCUCCCCCGCUCCUCUACGCCGUCGCCGUCCUCUCCCGCCUCCUCCCCGACCCGGACCCUUUCUCCCUCAACACCGUCCUCCGCAUCGCCGCGUCCUCGGCGCGCCCACGCCUCGCGCUCGCGCUCCACCGCCGCCGCCUCGCGCCGCCCGACACGCACACCUACCCGCCGCUCCUCCAGGCCUGCACACGCCUCCUCGCCCUUCGCGAAGGCGAGAGCCUCCACGCCGAGGCCGCCAAGAACGGCCUGGUGGCGCUCGUCUUCGUCAAGAACUCGCUUGUCCACCACUAUGGUGCGUGCGGCCUCUUUGAGAGCGCCCACAGGGUGUUCGACGAAAUUCCGGUGCUGGAGCGGAACCUCGUCUCCUGGAACUCCGUGAUGAACGGGUUCGCGGCCAAUGGCAGGCCCAACGAGGUACUGACAAUCUUCCGGGAGACGUUCGAGGUGGACCUCAUGCCGGAUGGAUUCACCAUUGUGAGUGUUUUAAAUGCGUGCGCAGAGAUCGGGGCGCUCGCUCUCGGGAGGAGGGUGCAUGUGUUUGCGUCCAAGGUUGGGUUAGUAGGGAACAGACAUGUUGGUAAUGCGCUGAUUGAUCUGUAUGCCAAGUGCGGCGGAGUUGAGGAUGCAAGGAAGGUGUUUGAGGACAUGGGGGUGGGAAGGACCGUGGUCUCAUGGACGUCACUGAUCGUGGGUUUGGCAGGGAAUGGGUUUGGGAAGGAUGCGCUUGAGCUGUUCGGUCUGAUGGAGAGGGAGAAGCUUAUCCCUACUGAUAUCACUAUGGUAGGAGUGCUGUAUGCUUGUAGCCACUGCGGGUUGGUUGACGAUGGGUUUCGAUAUUUCAAUGAGAUGAAGGACAAGUACGGCAUAGCACCAAAGAUUGAACAUCUUGGAUGUAUGGUGGAUCUGCUGGGGAGAGCUGGAAGAGUUGAGGAAGCGCACGAUUAUAUCAGCACGAUGCCACUGGAGCCCAAUGCUGUUGUGUGGCGGACAUUGCUAGGUGCUUGUGCUAUGCACAAGAAGCUGGAACUUGGGGAGGCUGCUUGGUCACGGCUGGUUGAGCUUGACCCUGGGCACAGCGGCGACUAUGUCCUCCUCUCAAAUCUGUAUGCUGCUGUUGGGAGGUGGGCAGAUGUCCAUGUCCUUAGGAAGACAAUGGUCACGCAUGGAGUGAGGAAAAACCCAGGGCAUAGCCUUGUGGAGAUCCGCAACUCCGUGUAUGAGUUUGUUAUGGGCGACAGAUCACAUCCUGAGAGUGAUCAGAUAUACCUAAUGCUUGCCGAGAUAGCCGAGAGAUUGAGGCGCCAAGGUUACGUCCCCCGCACAAGCAAUGUAUUGGCAGAUAUAGAGGAGGAAGAGAAAGAGGCUGCUUUAAACUACCAUAGCGAGAGGCUGGCCAUUGCCUUUGCCUUGCUGAAGUGUCUUCCUGGUACUCCUAUCAGGAUAGUGAAGAACUUGAGGGUGUGUGGAGACUGCCAUUUGGUAAUUAAGUUAAUAUCUAAGGUAUAUGACCGUGAAAUCAUUGUUAGGGAUCGCAGUAGGUUCCACCAUUUCAAAGGUGGAGAAUGUUCAUGUAAAGAUUAUUGGUAG
rnacentral:rRNA from 1 species